ensembl:lncRNA
AUUUGAACAUACUGUAACUUUUGGACAGAGGCAUCUUGAAUAGUUUUUAAUGUAAAUGCAAAGAGUCCUCUGUGUGGAGCUCCUCUGAGGGCGGACGAUGUAAAAUGCUGAGUCACCCUUACUGAGCUGAAUCAAUGGAUAUACAAGCUAUUAUAUUUAAUCGUGUGCAUUGAAAUGAUGGAAUGCAGCUUAUUCCAGAAUAAAGGCUCCUUCAAAAGUGGAAAUGUUCUUGUCAGGUCACGCUACAGAUCCAUUCAGCUAUGCUUUUCUUCCUUGGAGAAAGUCCAGACUGCAGAAACCGACAUGUGCCCUGCGGAUAUGCAGAGAAAUGAAGAGCUGCCCUGCUUAAGUUCCCAAAAAAACCACAGGUGGUCUACAGAGACAAUCGUCUGGCUUUUGCAAAACCUGGUGAGUCUUUAUUGAGUUUGUAAAGCGGCAGGAGCACUGUGAAGGCCAUCGCACAACAAUUCAGUUUGUGAAAACACCUCCUGCUGCUUUGAUUAAAUUCCCAAAGAUCAGCUUGAUUACUGACCUUUCUGUUGACUAAUGUUCAUGACUUUGACAUCGCUGGACUUUGCGUCCUUUAAACUUUGUGGCAUUUGUAAAUGAUUUGGCACGUUUUAAAUGUUUGCUCAGGCCACUAGCUUAACAGACAUUGCCAGCUAACGACAGGCUGAUCUACCAUUGUUGUUCUAAUCCGACUAUAGAUCAAGAUCUUUACCUGGCUUAUGGAAAGCACAGCACUAAGAUUUGUAAGAAUAACAAUACAAGUGCUAGAAGCUAACUGCGUAAACCCUGAUAAGCUUUUGCUAGCAAUCUUGAAGCCACCUCAGAAAACAAUAACACAGACAUAAUUUAGGAAAGUGGUAUUGUUUUCUCUCUCUGGCUCGUUCCUGGAAUCACAUGGCAUCUUAAUCGCAUUAUUCAAGGUGCCAGGUCGAAUGUGACUGCCACUGUUCUACACUAGCAAGUGGCCCAGUUUAUAGCACUAAUCCUGCUCUAAUACUAGCACGACUGAUGUACUGUAACCUCUCACACACAUAAACUCCAUCAACCGCUGUGGCUCUUCAUUCAGAACACCACUGAAGGCUUCCAUUCAUCACAAAGUUAGUUAAAGCAUGUCACAAAAAUAAAAUAAAAAACUUUUAAUUUAAAGAGAUUCA